AUAUCAAUAAGCGGAGGAAAAGAAACCAACAGGGAUUGCCUUAGUAACGGCGAGUGAAGCGGCAAAAGCUCAAAUUUGAAAUCUGACACUUUCAGUGUCCGAGUUGUAAUUUGAAGAAAGUUUCUCUGAGUAGUCCUUUAUCUAUGUUCCUUGGAACAGGACGUCAUAGAGGGUGAGAACCCCGUAUGAUUUUGGAUACUAUUCUUUGUGAGAUUCUUUCGAAGAGUCGAGUUGUUUGGGAAUGCAGCUCUAAGUGGGUGGUAAAUUCCAUCUAAAGCUAAAUAUUGGCGAGAGACCGAUAGCGAACAAGUACAGUGAUGGAAAGAUGAAAAGAACUCUGAAGAGAGAGUGAAAAAGUACGUGAAAUUGCUGAAAGGGAAGGGCUUUAGGUUAGACUUGGUGUUUAGUGAUUAUCUUCCCUUCUGGGUUGUGCACUCGCUUUUCACUGGGCCAAUAUCAGUUUUGGAGGCAGAGCACCCUUUGGAAUGUAGCUUCUCUCGAGAAGUGUUAUAGCCUUGGGACGAUCUGCCGCUGGGACUGAGGACUGCGCAUUUUAUGCUAGGAUAUUGGCGUAAUAACC
rnacentral:rRNA from 1 species